rnacentral:rRNA from 1 species
UUGAACGCUGGCGGCAUGCUUUACACAUGCAAGUCGAACGGUAACAGGUUAAGCUGACGAGUGGCGAACGGGUGAGUAAUGCAUCGGAACGUGCCCGAUCGUGGGGGAUAACGCAGCGAAAGCUGCGCUAAUACCGCAUACGAUCUGAGGAUGAAAGCGGGGGCUCGCAAGACCUCGCGCGAUUGGAGUGGCCGAUAUCUGAUUAGCUAGAUGGUGAGGUAAAGGCUCACCAUGGCGACGAUCAGUAGCUGGUCUGAGAGGAUGAUCAGCCACACUGGGACUGAGACACGGCCCAGACUCCUACGGGAGGCAGCAGUGGGGAAUUUUGGACAAUGGGGGCAACCCUGAUCCAGCCAUUCCGCGUGAGUGAAGAAGGCCUUCGGGUUGUAAAGCUCUUUCAGCAGGAACGAAACGGUGGCUACUAAUACUAGCUACUAAUGACGGUACCUGAAGAAGAAGCACCGGCUAACUACGU